rnacentral:lncRNA from 1 species
UAAUAUAUCAGUUUCUCUCUAUACUUGUCUUUACUUUAUAGUAUUUGUUUCGUAACAACAACAUUAAUUUUCAUCUUCCCUCCAAAAGCUAAGUUCUUAUUUUCCAUUUCCCUCUCUUCGCUAACUUCAUUCGCCUUCAUCAAAAUUUCAAACUCUUUCCUCAACCACUUGAUUUCACUCUACUUUUCCUUCCACCCUACCAAAACAAUUAUCUCCGUAAAAUUCUCCUUGUUGCGAUCGAAGAGUAAGGUAUAUCUGUUAAGGUGAGAAGGGGAAGCAAAAUUAAGUACAACAAAUUGGGAGGAGAAACCCUAAGGUGACUCACAUAGUUAAGGUUACUAAUUUCCUUAUUCUUUCUCUCUUUGUCGUUGUUACAUUUGUGAAAAGCUCAAGAAAUAUCUAUGCAAGUAUGUGGUAACUAAUUUUGUUCAUUAUUGUUUUUAGGUAUUUGUUAAAAUGUCAAAACCAGUUGCAUUCAUAUAUCUGCCUUCAAAAUUACGUAGCUUGUGAUGUAAUCAUGAGGACUAUUUUACCAGGUAAUGAGUUAUUCAAUUUAGACAAGAUCUUGAAUCUUGAUAAUAUUUUGCCCCUACUAACUAGCUAUGAUUUGCACUACCCUAUUUCAAACUUUAUUUUUAUUUUUUAUUUUUGUGACAUGUGUUACAAAUAAUUCCCUGAUAAUUGGCAAUCUGGCAUAUGCAUAUAUUUUCAGACUUUGAUGCAUCAAUAAGGUGGUAAUAUUUCUCUUGAAGUUAUUGUAGGUAUUAAAAUAUCUAUUCAAUAUAUGCCUAGGUAUUAUGCACAAGAGUUUAGAGGCAUAAGAAAAGUGUUUGGCUUCUCUGUUAUUUUUCUGACUUUAGAACACUGCAAUAAGGUCAUCAACUUUCCGAAGUGAAUGUUAAAUGCACAAGAGUGUGCAUUUUUUCCAAUACUGGAGAUUGGAUAGAAGUUGGGUUUGGGGUUUUUGAGGGAGAGAUUUGUAAAAGAAAAAAAUAAAUUAAGUUGGCUACUACUAUUAAAUUAAUGUUGAAUUCAUAAAAGAUAAAAGAAAAAUGUAAAUGAAGUUAACUGCCAAGAUACAGAGAACUAUUAUUACCGUUGAAUUCAAAAAAUGAAAAAAGAGAAACAAAAAAUGUGUAACUAUGCCGUAGUUGUGUCUUGAAUGUUGGAUGGCUAGGUACAGAAGGAGUGCAAGCGGGCUGCUCGACCAACGUAGCUGCUCAUAUUUUGUGAAUGCUGGGGGCACAAUUAAUUUAUAUAAGAGUUUCGGGAUGUAUAUGCAGACACAUAUACACAAUUUUUGCCGAGGCUAUCGGGUGCUGGUGACCCCUCUACUCACAAGGUAGGUCUGCCUCUGUACCCAAGAUUAGUGGCCUCUAAUAUGCAUUCUUUUAUAUAUUUUGCUAGUAUAACUUUAUUAUUUCUUAUUGAAUACUCUGAGUUUCUUCUCAAUAUGUUCUCAUCGUAUUGGUUUUUGUUGUAUCUAAUUUAAUACAAAAAAUAUAACUACGUCGUAACGAAUUACACUGGCAGCCGAUUAACAUUGGUUCCUCUUCUAAAAGAACUUAUGGAAAAUGAAAUCCAAAGUAUAAAUAUUCAGGUAAAGACCAACUCCUCAAGCCACCAUUGUCUUGUAUUUUAUUUUUUUCUACUGUAUUAAUCAAUUUCUUCUCAAUUUCCAAAUGAACUAUUGUGCAUUCGUUGUGUAUGCUCGAGGAACAAGUGAGAAAUUGCUGGUAAUUUGCCAUCUCCCUGAACAAGUCAACCAAUUUUUCUAUUAUUUGCCUUGCUGUUAUUCUUCCAGUUUGUAUUGCUUUUUUCCUUUUUUUUCUCACCCAUUUGUCUACAUAUUAACUUUCUUCCUAGGAAUCCUGUGCUGUUACACUAUCACACUUUCUUGAAAAUUGAGUUUCAAGUAAGUAUAUUUCAGCAUCCUAUCUGUACUCUUAAAUCUUAAAAUUGAAAUCCUAUUAUUUUGUGUUGGGACUUUGACAUUAUCCAACUUGAGACUGUUUAAUAUGGACAUGUUUGAUGCUAGUUUUUAUUUUACUUUUAAUCAUCCCUUGCUUCAGAACUCUGAUCCAAAUUUACUUUCAAAUCUUCUUUAAAGAACAAACAUUAUUGCAUUGUGAUUUAUUUGCUUAGCUAAUCCCAUUUAACAUUUAAAUAAGCACAUGAGAUGAUGUUUCUUGAUCUCUUGAUAUUCUUUUUUUGUUACAUAUACACUGCUACUUCUGUUUUGGGCUGAGAUAUACCAUUAAGUAAUCCUAUUUGAUUCUCAAAGGUCCUUAAGAAUUACUCAGACAAGAUUUUCCAUGGGAUCAUGUCGAAUUGUUUGCUAAUUAUUUUUGCCAUGGAAAAUUUUGUACUUAUUUUAAUCGUUUUCAUCACGGGUCAAGCCUUACUCAUUGCUUAUUGUUUCUUCUCAGGUAAGAGACCUUCCCAUUGAUAUACUUUGACAUAAUAUGCAGUUAAUUACUAAACUACUCUUUAUCUCGGAUCAGUUUCUAUAUAUCUCUGAGUCUGCAGUUUAUUUUGUUGUGUUAUACUAGAGGUUCUAGGAAAAAUUGACAAUAAUACAGAUGCACAUACUGUGGUUAUAAAGAUUAUGAUUUAACAUAUGCUGCUUCUAUCCAUUGACUACUAUUCUAUUGUAACUGAUUUCGACGGCUUCUAUCUCAAAACUAAGAUGAUAGUACUGUCUUACAUGAGCCACACAAAACUAAAGUUGUUCAUUUUCCUCUUGAUUGUUGAAAGUUAGAAAACAAUAGGUUCUACAUUCAACAUAUGUAUAUUGAGAUGUAAGAAGUAGAUCAUCCUUCAAGUGAUUCUAACUGAAACCUUGUUACUUGUUUUACUUAAGCAAUUGUUGGUGUCUUUUAGAGUAUUUGGAAGGGAGCAUUAUCCUUGUGUUUCUUUAUUUUAUUGUACUUCUCUUUUACCUAUUUCUUUUUAUACUUUUUUUCAACCAACUUAUUUGGUUUAUCUUGUAAUAUUAUUUCCACUGGUUAAUAAUUGAAAUUCUGAUUCUCUUGGAGAAAAAUUUCCUUGUCAUCAUAGAUUCAGUUAUUGGUAUUUGCUCAAUGAUGACAUGCAAGUACUGAUCCUUGACGAUUUUGCAGAUGAAAACUAACAAGUGUAGUAUGUGAAAGGAGAAGAUGUAGAGAUGACUGUAUUGUGGAAGACAAGCAAAAGAAGUUCAGCAUAGGAAGACACUAUUGUGAUCAAGAUUUGCAGAAACCGGGUGUUGGAGAAAUGUUAAUAGGCUAACUACUGUCUUGGAUUAUGAAUAUUUGAUGAUAGUAGUUAUUUGACUCAUACUGAUACUAGCUUUCGAAUUCAAAUGAUGUAUUUUUUUUAUGUUGUUGACACUCUUGCAAUAUCAAGGUGAAUUUAAAGAAAUAUAUUGUCUUUUAGGAUGAAAGGUAGCCUAUUUUAUCAAAAAA